UACGGGGGGGAGCAAGCGUUGUUCGGAUUUACUGGGCGUAAAGGGCGCGUAGGCGGUCGAUCAAGUCCGGGGUGAAAUCUUUCGGCUUAACCGGAAAAGUGCCUUGGAUACUGAUUGGCUGGAGGGAGGUAGGGGGAGCUGGAACUUCCAGUGGAGCGGUGAAAUGCGUUGAUAUUGGAAGGAACUCCGGUGGCGAAGCGAGCUCCUGGACCUCUUCUGACGCUGAUGCGCGAAAGCUAGGGGAGCAAACGGG
rnacentral:rRNA from 1 species